UACGAAGGGGGCUAGCGUUGCUCGGAAUUACUGGGCGUAAAGGGAGCGUAGGCGGACAUUUAAGUCAGGGGUGAAAUCCCGGAGCUCAACUCCGGAACUGCCCUUGAUACUGGGUGGCUUGAGUGUGAGAGAGGUAUGUGGAACUCCGAGUGUAGAGGUGAAAUUCGUAGAUAUUCGGAAGAACACCAGUGGCGAAAGCGACAUACUGGGUCAUUACUGACGCUGAGGGUCGAAAGCGUGGGGAGCAAACAGG
rnacentral:rRNA from 1 species